GAUGAACGCUGGCGGCGUGCCUAAUACAUGCAAGUCGAGCGAACAGACGAGGAGCUUGCUCCUCUGACGUUAGCGGCGGACGGGUGAGUAACACGUGGAUAACCUACCUAUAAGACUGGGAUAACUUCGGGAAACCGGAGCUAAUACCGGAUAAUAUAUUGAACCGCAUGGUUCAAUAGUGAAAGACGGUUUUGCUGUCACUUAUAGAUGGAUCCGCGACGCAUUAGCUAGUUGGUAAGGUAACGGCUUACCAAGGCGACGAUGGGUAGCCGACCUGAGAGGGUGAUCGGCCACACUGGAACUGAGACACGGUCCAGACUCCUACGGGAGGCAGCAGUAGGGAAUCUUCCGCAAUGGGCGAAAGCCUGACGGAGCAACGCCGCGUGAGUGAUGAAGGUCUUCGGAUCGUAAAACUCUGUUAUUAGGGAAGAACAAAUGUGUAAGUAACUAUGCACGUCUUGACGGUACCUAAUCAGAAAGCCACGGCUAACUACGUG
rnacentral:rRNA from 1 species